GAACGAAAUCCAACAGCACAGCUAGAAAGAGCAUCUUGGAAUGAGUAAAACUGCAAAGAUUGGUUGCGAAAUGUUGUGAAAUGAAGAAAAUAUAGUCCUGUGAAGUUCGCAAAUUUUGUAUAUAUUUGUAUUACGCGCGGUAAAAAUAAUCACUUUCGGCUCAAAAAUGCGCGUAAUACAAAUAUAUACAAAAUUUGCGAACUUCACAGGACUAUAUUUUCCUCAUUUUACAACAUUUCGCAACCAAACUUUGCAAUUUUACUCAUUUUAAGAUGCUCUUUCUAGGUGAGGUGUUGGAUUUCGUUC